rnacentral:rRNA from 1 species
GAUCAUGGCUCAGAGCGAACGCUGGCGGCAGGCCUAAUACAUGCAAGUCGAACGGCAGCACAGCAGAGCUUGCUCUGUGGGUGGCGAGUGGCGGACGGGUGAGGAAUACGUGGGAAUCUGCCCAGUCGUGGGGGAUAACGUAGGGAAACUUACGCUAAUACCGCAUGCGCCCUUCGGGGGAAAGCCGGGGACCUUCGGGCCUGGCGCGAUUGGAUGAGCCCACGUCGGAUUAGCUAGUUGGCGGGGUAAAGGCCCACCAAGGCGACGAUCCGUAGCUGGUCUGAGAGGAUGAUCAGCCACACUGGAACUGAGACACGGUCCAGACUCCUACGGGAGGCAGCAGUAGGGAAUAUUGGACAAUGGGCGCAAGCCUGACCCAGCCAUGCCGCGUGAGUGAAGAAGGCCCUCGGGUUGUAAAGCUCUUUUGUCCGGAAAGAAAAGCGCCGGGUUAAUACCCUGGUGUCCUGACGGUACCGGAAGAAUAAGCACCGGCUAACUUCGUG